rnacentral:lncRNA from 1 species
ACAAAAGCACAAUUGAUUCUAAUGACAAGGCCCCAUGACCCAUGCUCCAACAUUCCUUCAACUCACCUCAACCAGAGAAGAUCCCAAACAACAACUUCAUCACCCUUUGUCCCCAUGUGCAUUGUUACCACAAUUAGCAUUGAUACCAAUGUAAGGAAAUAAAACAUGUUGCAAAACAAAUAAUACCUCAAAUCAAAAUUAAGGCUCGCAAAUCCAAUCAAAAAAUGAAUCUCAAAACAGGGCUCUGUGACUCCUGCUCCCACAAU